CUGAAGGCAGGUGUGCUUUGGAUAUCAAAAGGCUCUUUGGAAGACUGACCUCUUCUGCUCCUUGGUAUGACAUGCCUGGAGGGACCAAGGACAGAGGACAGCAGAGUUAGCAGGGAUUCCAGGAUGGUCCAACUCACCAGCCUGCCCUCUGAAGGAGUUGACAGGAACUUCAAAGCCCUGACUGGAAGUCAGGGACUAAAGAGCAAAUUCCUGGGAACAAGUCCAAGGCGGAGAACCCCAGCCGGAAGUGCUGCUGGUUGGAACUGAGAAGGUCUUGCUUCUCAGGAAAUCUGCCUACAAUGAGGUGGGACAGCUGACCACAGGCCACCUACCACCACAUCCACGGGGAUAAAAUAAACUCAGUCCAGCCUGGCAAAGUUCUGAC